rnacentral:rRNA from 1 species
AUUGAACGCUGGCGGCAUGCUUUACAUAUGCAAGUCGAACGGUAACAGGCCGCAAGGUGCUGACGAGUGGCGAACGGGUGAGUAAUGCAUCGGAACGUGCCCAGUCGUGGGGGAUAACUACUCGAAAGAGUAGCUAAUACCGCAUACGAUCUAUGGAUGAAAGCGGGGGACCGUAAGGCCUCGCGCGAUUGGAGCGGCCGAUGUCAGAUUAGGUAGUUGGUGGGGUAAAGGCUCACCAAGCCAACGAUCUGUAGCUGGUCUGAGAGGACGACCAGCCACACUGGGACUGAGACACGGCCCAGACUCCUACGGGAGGCAGCAGUGGGGAAUUUUGGACAAUGGGCGCAAGCCUGAUCCAGCAAUGCCGCGUGCAGGAAGAAGGCCUUCGGGUUGUAAACUGCUUUUGUACGGAACGAAACGGCUCUGGUUAAUACCCGGGGCUAAUGACGGUACCGUAAGAAUAAGCACCGGCUAACUACGUG